UACGAAGGGGGCUAGCGUUGUUCGGAAUUACUGGGCGUAAAGCGCACGUAGGCGGGUUUGUAAGUAGGGGGGUGAAAUCCCAGGGCUCAACCCUGGAACUGCCUUCUAAACUGCAAGCCUGGAGGUCAGGAGAGGCGAGUGGAAUACCGAGUGUAGAGGUGAAAUUCGUAGAUAUUCGGUGGAACACCAGUGGCGAAGGCGACUCGCUGGACUGAUACUGACGCUGAGGUGCGAAAGCGUGGGGAGCAAACAGG
rnacentral:rRNA from 1 species